rnacentral:rRNA from 1 species
CGGGGUGCAGCAGGCGCGAAAACUCCACACUGUACGGAAGUACGAUGGGGUUAUCUCGAGUGCAGUCCGAUAAGGGCUGCUUUUCCAUAGAGUAAUAUCCUGUGGGAAUAAGAGGGGGGCAAGACUGGUGUCAGCCGCCGCGGUAACACCAGCCCCUCGAGUGGUGGGGACUAUUAUUUGGCCUAAAGCGUCCGUAGCUGGCUGUAUCCGUCCCCCGUUAAAUCCAGCGUCCUAAGCGUUGGACCGCGGGUGAUACCAUACAGCUAGAGGGUGGGAUAGGUGAGCGGUAUUUCUGGGGUAGGGGCGAAAUCCUUUGAUCCCAGGAGGACCACCAGUGGCGAAGGCUGCUCACUAGAACACGCCUGACGGUCAGGGACGAAAGCUGGGGCAGCGAACCGGAUUAGAUACCCGGGUAGUCCCAGCUGUAAACGAUGCUAGCUAGGUGUUGGGUCGGCCACGCGCCGCCCCAGUGCCGCAGGGAAGCCGUUAAGCUAGCCGCCUGGGGAGUACGGCCGCAAGGCUGAAACUUAAAGGAAUUGGCGGGGGAGCAC